rnacentral:rRNA from 1 species
ACAACGGAGAGUUUGAUCCUGGCUCAGGAUGAACGCUGGCGGCGUGCUUAACACAUGCAAGUCGAACGAACCUUCGGGUUAGUGGCGGACGGGUGAGUAACGCGUGGGAAUCUGCC